UGUGGCAUGGAAGGAGUUUUACUUUUAGUUCAUAAAGCAAAGAUUUUAGAGAGGGUAUUUUUUUCACUAAGGAGCAGCAGACCUAGCAAACCAGCGUCUUCUGGGGGGACGUAAAAGCUCUCUGAGCAGACUUAGAGCGAUAUGAGCGGCAGCUUGGAGACCUAGCAGACCAGCAUCUUCUGGAGGGGCUUAAAAGCUCUCUGGUAACUGAACAGAGCAGCAUAAAUCAACCAGGAACAGUUCAGGAUCAGACCCGGUCAGGUCCAGAACCAGAACCUGAGCAGACCCA